GUUCUCACUGUCAGGGAAAGGCAUGAGUGGGAUUCUGGUCUUAACUCCUUAAUGCUGAAUCUGCUCACAUUUGUAGAAAAUGAGUUUCCUAAACUCAGGUCUUUCUUGUGAGUUCAUCAGCAGUGAGGGAUGUUGUGUGAGGACGUGUCGGUGAUAGUAAGAUCAAACGAUCGCCCAUUUCAGAAUUGUGGUUAGAAACUCAUUGCUGAUGGGAAUGUUGUGAAUUAAAGGAGUUUGGCCCAAAUAACGUGGGAGCAGGGUAACGUGGGAACGCCAUCUGAAGCCAUUGGGAAGAAUCUUCACCGUCUCUCCUUCACCACCUCCAAGUGUGCUGCGGGCUCCCAGUCCUGGAAGGAUUGCCUGUCAUCCUGCGGCUCCUCUGGACUGCUGCCAUCUCUCCUGCCAGCUACAUGGUCUCUGAGUCCUGUCCCUCACGCCCUGUCCCCCUCCCACCCCUCCAGCGGCUCUUGUGUUUCUGUUGCUCUAAUAAA